ensembl:lncRNA
UCCCAGAAAUGCCUCUUGUAAAGCAUCACUUAGCAAGGGAAAAGCAGACACCUGCUUUAUAGCUUCUCCUAUAACUGAAGAGUUUUGGGAGCGAGGGAGGGAGAGAGGACAGGAGAUUCAGUGCCCCAGGGUCCCUGAGAAACUUUUCAAAAGUACAUCUUAUCAAGACUCUGAUUCCUCUUUAUAACUGGUGCUAACCAAUGCCACCUGCUAAGCUGAGCAGGUGGAGAUUUGAACACCAAGAUCGAGCAGCCUCUUCCCUAAACAAUGCAACCUGACUACAGAGUUUCUGCCCACACCACCUCCCAGGAGGUGGUGGAAAGGAAACCCUGGCCUGGGCCCCACAGUGUCCUACAAGGAGAGGCAUGCAGGAGAGACUGACGUGUCAGCUGUCAGCCCUGAGCCAAAGAGCUGCCGUCUCCACGGAGGCGUGCCUGGGCUCCCCCACCCUGGGAUGAAAUCAGGGUUCAGACAAGGGCCUUGAAGCCAUCCAUGGACUGACAGCAUAAUGCCCAUGACUUUCACAGUAUGUGUCUUUCAGCUGCAGAAAUAAGGGCAGGGUAAUUUUAGCUCCACAUGUGUUAGCACAACUCCAUCUCUCCUACCACCAGACUGGCUCCAGACAGAGACCCGUCGUGUUCUUCUGCAGCAGGGCACUCAGACGCUGCAGAAUCACAGACUGGGGACUUCCCUGGUCCGUUGUGUUCUUCUGCAUCAGGGCACUCAGACGCUGCAGAAUCACAGACUGGGGACUUCCCUGGUCCGUUGUGUUCUUCUGCAUCAGGGCACUCAGACGCUGCAGAAUCACAGACUGGGGACUUCCCUGGUGGUCCAGUGGCUCAAACUCCAUGUUCCCAGUGCUGGGGGCCCAGGUUCGAUCCUUGGUCAGGGAACUAGACCCCACCUGCCACAUCAAAGAUCAAAGAUCCCACCUGCUAUAACUAAGACCUGGCACAGCCAAAUAAAUAUUAAAAAGAAAAGAAAGAACCACAGACUGCCAACUCCGGGGAGUCAACUGGGGCUCAGGCAGAGAACAAGGCUCAUGGCCACCAGCGGUUCUCAGCCCACAGCCCAGAGCUGCAUGUCCUGAAG